CCAGUCCCUGAUGUGGGUCUUGAAAAGGCAGGGAGAGCAGAAGAUGCUGCUUGUUGAGAGCCCCUCACAUCCCAUGGCCAAAGAGGAGCUCAGGACACUCAGCCACCCCACAGCCACCAGAAGGAGCCAGGAGAGGCAGGAAGAAAAGCCCCAGAGGAUGCGCAGGGCUCAGCAGAGGACCGCCAAGAGACUUGGUGUCUCCUCUGUGUGGGGAAGCGCCUGCGGCCACCCGUGGGUUGUUCCCAGGCGCAGCAACGCCCAGAGCGGACACCUCUUGUGGCGCUGCCUCAGCUGCUGCGAAAGCAGAGCCUGCCAGCUCCGGCCAGCCAGGGAUGGGGAAGGGGCCGUCGGGGGCGGGCAGUUGGGCGCCCAUGGCCCAUCUCCCCACCGUCGCCUUGCUGCUGUUGGGUGACCUCCCGGCUCCUGAACUCUCCCUGAACACCUUCCACGCUCAGGAGGGGGAGCAGGUUUUGUUUCGCUGCUCCAUUGAACGCCAGGUUCCAGACACAAGAAUUGUCUUCUGCAAGGAUGGGGUGGAGGAGCGCAGUCUGAAGGCCCAACAGGGGCAGCAGAACUACUUUGUGCUCCUAAAAAUCACCCUGGGGAGUGCUGGGACAUACGCGUGUGGGUACCAGCACAGGAAUGAGAGCAAAUGGGUGAGGAGCUCUGCCCUCAGUGCUCCCCAGCUCCUGGCUGUCACAGGUGAGACAUGGCACUGGGAAAUGGGAAGGUGCCACUCUGGGGCCCCACAACCCCCAGAGGGAUGGGUGGGAAAGAAGGAGUGGGGAAGGAGUGGAGAUGGGAAGGGAGAGGGGCUUCAUACCCCAUUUGUGGAAGAGGAGACUCUUCCACUCUUUUUCCACAGUAGUGACUCCACCCUGGGGCAUCCCUGUGCCAUCUCUCCAGGUGACCUCCCGUCUCCUGAACUCUUCCUGAAAACCUCCAAGGCUGAGGAGGGAGAACGGGUUUUGCUUCACUGCUCCAUUGAUGGACACUCUCCUCCUACAUGAAUUGUCUUCUGCAAAGAUGGGGUGGAGGAGCACAGCCUGAAAGCCCAGCAGGGGCAGUUGAAGUACUUGGUGCAACUAAAAAUCAGCCUGAGGAGCGCAGGGACGUACACGUGUGGGUACCAGCAGAGGAAGGAGAACAACUGGGUGAGGAGCUCUGCCCUCAAUGCUCCCCGUGUCCUGACUGUCACAGGUGAGAUGUGGAACUGGGCACAGGCAGAACUCCCUGCUUCCUGACUCCAGAUGGCAGUGAGGACCCUGCCAUGCCCCAUGG
rnacentral:lncRNA from 1 species